GGUUCCCUGUCAGUUGUUUCUCUGUCAAAGUCGUUUGUGUUCUGCACUUGUGUUAGGCUCAGUACGUAGUUUGGUCUCUUGUUUGUCGCCGGCCAUGUCCAUGGUCGGGUUUGGGAAGACUGACGUUGGUUAGUACUCUCUCCGUUUCAAAUUGUAAGUCAUUCCAAGAAUCUUGGAGAGUCAAAGCAUCUCAAGUUUGACCAAAAUUAUAGAGAAAAAUAUAAAGAUUUAUGACAUCAAAUAGAUAUACUAUGAAAAUAUAAUUGAUAAAGAAUCUAAUGAUACUUAGUUGACAUCAUAAAUGUUAUUAUAUUAUUAUACAAAUUUGGUCAAACUUGAGAUGCUUUGACUCUCCAAGAUUCUUAGAAUGACUUACAAUUUGAAACGGAGGGAGUAGUAGGUUACUAGUAGAUGUAUGUAAGAGCUUUGGUUUCUGCACAAGCUGGUGUUGAUCCUCUUUAUCUGUAUGAUGGGAUGCGAAUCAAUCGAAAAGUUUCAGUGCAACGUUGUAUGCCAUCUGUGUUUCCUGCUAAUUUCGAAAUGAGUACACGGAAUGGGAUUCCCGUGCCCCGUCGUCC
rnacentral:lncRNA from 1 species